rnacentral:rRNA from 1 species
AUUGAACGCUGGCGGCAGGCCUAACACAUGCAAGUCGAGCGGAUGAAGGGAGCUUGCUCCUGGAUUCAGCGGCGGACGGGUGAGUAAUGCCUAGGAAUCUGCCUGGUAGUGGGGGAUAACGUCCGGAAACGGGCGCUAAUACCGCAUACGUCCCGAGGGAGAAAGUGGGGGAUCUUCGGACCUCACGCUAUCAGAUGAGCCUAGGUCGGAUUAGCUAGUUGGUGGGGUAAAGGCCUACCAAGGCGACGAUCCGUAACUGGUCUGGGAGGAUGAUCAGUCACACUGGAACUGAGACACGGUCCAGACUCCUACGGGAGGCAGCAGUGGGGAAUAUUGGACAAUGGGCGAAAGCCUGAUCCAGCCAUGCCGCGUGUGUGAAGAAGGUCUUCGGAUUGUAAAGCACUUUAAGUUGGGAGGAAGGGCAGUAAGUUAAUACCUUGCUGUUUUGACGUUACCAACAGAAUAAGCACCGGCUAACUUCGUG